rnacentral:rRNA from 1 species
AGUGAACGCUGGCGGUAGGCCUAACACAUGCAAGUCGAACGGCAGCACAGUAAGAGCUUGCUCUUACGGGUGGCGAGUGGCGGACGGGUGAGGAAUACAUCGGAAUCUACUUUUUCGUGGGGGAUAACGUAGGGAAACUUACGCUAAUACCGCAUACGACCUACGGGUGAAAGCAGGGGAUCCUCGGACCUUGCGCGAUUGAAUGAGCCGAUGUCGGAUUAGCUAGUUGGCGGGGUAAAGGCCCACCAAGGCGACGAUCCGUAGCUGGUCUGAGAGGAUGAUCAGCCACACUGGAACUGAGACACGGUCCAGACUCCUACGGGAGGCAGCAGUGGGGAAUAUUGGACAAUGGGAGCAAGCCUGAUCCAGCCAUACCGCGUGGGUGAAGAAGGCCUUCGGGUUGUAAAGCCCUUUUGUUGGGAAAGAAAAGCAGCAGGUUAAUACCCCGCUGUUCUGACGGUACCCAAAGAAUAAGCACCGGCUAACUUCGUG